rnacentral:rRNA from 1 species
AACGAUGAAGCCCUUCGGGGUGGAUUAGUGGCGAACGGGUGAGUAACACGUGGGCAAUCUGCCCUUCACUCUGGGACAAGCCCUGGAAACGGGGUCUAAUACCGGAUAACACUCUGUCCCGCAUGGGACGGGGUUAAAAGCUCCGGCGGUGAAGGAUGAGCCCGCGGCCUAUCAGCUUGUUGGUGGGGUGAUGGCCUACCAAGGCGACGACGGGUAGCCGGCCUGAGAGGGCGACCGGCCACACUGGGACUGAGACACGGCCCAGACUCCUACGGGAGGCAGCAGUGGGGAAUAUUGCACAAUGGGCGAAAGCCUGAUGCAGCGACGCCGCGUGAGGGAUGACGGCCUUCGGGUUGUAAACCUCUUUCAGCAGGGAAGAAGCGAAAGUGACGGUACCUGCAGAAGAAGCGCCGGCUAACUACGUGCCAGCAGCCGCGGUAAUACGUAGGGCGCAAGCGUUGUCCGGAAUUAUUGGGCGUAAAGAGCUCGUAGGCGGCUUGUCACGUCGGAUGUGAAAGCCCGGGGCUUAACCCCGGGUCUGCAUUCGAUACGGGCUAGCUAGAGUGUGGUAGGGGAGAUCGGAAUUCCUGGUGUAGCGGUGAAAUGCGCAGAUAUCAGGAUGAACACCGGUGGCGAAGGCGGAUCUCUGGG